GAGUUUGAUCGUGGCUCAGAACGAACGCUGGCGGCAGGCUUAACACAUGCAAGUCGAGCGCGUAGCAAUACGAGCGGCAGACGGGUGAGUAACGCGUGGGAAUCUACCGUGCCCUAUGGAAUAGCUCCGGGAAACUGGAAUUAAUACCAUAUACGCCCUUCGGGGAAGAUUUAUCGGGUAUGAUGAGGCCCGCGUUGGAUUAGCUAGUUGGUGGGGUAAAGGCCUACCAAGGCGACGAUCCAUAGCUGGUCUGAGAGGAUGAUCAGCCACAUUGGGACUGAGACACGGCCCAAACUCCUACGGGAGGCAGCAGUGGGGAAUAUUGGACAAUGGGCGCAAGGCCUGAUCCAGCCAUGCCGCGUGAGUGAUGAAGGCCCUAGGGUUGUAAAGCUCUUUCACCGGUUGAAGAUAAUGACGGUAACCGGAGAAGAAGCCCCGGGCUAACUUCGUGCCAGCAGCCGCCGUAACACCUGAGAAAGGCACACAGGGGAU
rnacentral:rRNA from 1 species